UUAUUUUAGCAUAAAAGUGCAUUAAAUUUAGAAUUUAAUUAUAUUAAUUAGUUUGAUUAAUAAAUAAUA
rnacentral:tRNA from 1 species